rnacentral:snoRNA from 1 species
AACACUUGGAAGUCCACAGGCAAGAAACAAACAAAAACAAAGAGAAAAAAAAAAUCCCAAAAGACUCUCCUUAUAGACAGGUGCAAAAAUCCUCUUUUGCAACGCAGAACUCAUUGUUUAGUAUGAGUUUUGGUACAGGGAAGAAGGAACAUG